ACCCUCUCUGAUGGGGAAAUCACCUCACAUAUUCUCGCUGGUCUUGACCAAGAUUACAAUCCUGUAGUCUCUGUUCUUGCUGCUCGGGUAGAACCAGUCACCGUCCAGGAAUUAUACAGCCAGCUUCUCUCCUUUGAUG
rfam:Triticum urartu cultivar G1812 contig1019632, whole genome shotgun sequence.